rnacentral:rRNA from 1 species
UACGUAGGGUGCAAGCGUUGUCCAGAAUUAUUGGGCGUAAAGAGCUCGUAGGCGGUUUGUUGCGUCGGCUGUGAAAUCCCGAGGCUCAACCUCGGGUCUGCAGUCGAUACGAGCAAACUAGAGUGUUGCAGGGGAGACUGGAAUUCCUGGUGUAGCGGUGAAAUGCGCAGAUAUCAGGAGGAACACCGGUGGCGAAGGCGGGUCUCUGGGCAACAACUGACGCUGAGGAGCGAAAGCGUGGGGAGCGAACAGG